rnacentral:misc_RNA from 1 species
CCUUCUAGUUAUUUUGACUAGUCGGGGGCUGGCUUGCGUCGUCCCAAAAGGACCCCUGCCGCCCUGACUGCAUCCUUGUCUAUUGCGUACUACAUGUUUCCUCGGUAGGCUUGCCUACCGGUUGGACAACCAUUUAAACUCUUUUGUAAUUGCAAUCAGCGUCUGAAAAUAAUUUUAAUUAUUA